GGUCAAGCGACUAAGCGCACAUGGUGGAUGCCUUGGCGGCAGAAGGCGAUGAAGGACGUAGUAGCCUGCGAUAAGCCUCGGGGAGUCGGCAAACAGACUUUGAUCCGGGGAUUUCCGAAUGGGGCAACCCACCGCUUACGCGGUAUCCGUAGCUGAAUACAUAGGCUGCGGAAGCAAACCCGGUGAAUUGAAACAUCUCAGUAACCGGAGGAACAGAAAUCAACCGAGAUUCCCCAAGUAGUGGCGAGCGAAAGGGGACCAGCCCAGUCACAUUUAGUCAGUGAAUCCUAGUGGAACGGAAUGGAAAGUCCGGCCAUAGAAGGUGAUAGCCCUGUAUGCAAAAGGUGCAGCUGAUGAGUGACGAAGAGUAGGGCGGGACACGUGUAAUCCUGUCUGAACAUAGGGGGACCAUCCUCUAAGGCUAAAUACUCUCUGCCGACCGAUAGUGAACCAGUACCGUGAGGGAAAGGCGAAAAGAACCCCGGAGAGGGGAGUGAAAUAGAACCUGAAACCGUGUGCGUACAAGCAGUCGGAGCCCCGCAAGGGGUGACGGCGUACCUUUUGUAUAAUGGGUCAGCGAGUUACUUUCAGUGGCAAGCCUAACCGAGUAGGGGAGGCGUAGGGAAACCGAGUCUUAAAUGGGCGCCAAGUCGCUGGGAGUAGACCCGAAGCCAGUCGAUCUAUCCAUGUCCAGGGUGAAGGCAGGGUAAAACCUACUGGAGGCCCGAACGCUCUACUGUUGCAAAAGUAGGCGAUGAGGUGUGGAUAGGAGUGAAAGGCUAAUCAAGGCUGGCGAUAGCUGGUUCUCCCCGAAAGAUAUUUAGGUAUCGCCUCGAGUAUUACUCCUGGGGGUAGAGCUCUGUUUAGGCUAGGGGGACAUCCCGUCCUACCAACCCUAUGCAAACUACGAAUACCAGGAAGUACAGCUCGGGAGGCACACGGCGGGUGCUAACGUCCGUCGUGAAGAGGGAAAUAACCCAGACCACCGUCUAAGGUCCCGAAGUUACAGCUAAGUGGUUAAGGAUGUGGGAAGGCAUAUACAGCCAGGAGGUUGGCUUAGAAGCAGCCAUCCUUUAAAGAAAGCGUAAUAGCUCACUGGUCUAGUCGGCCCGCGCCGAAGAUAUAACGGGGCUAAGCUGUGCACCGAAGACGUGGGUGUGAGCGACUCACUCAGCACCAUUCGACCGACGCUUGACGUCCUGCGAAGCAGGACGGCAACGCGACCCAUCAGGGUAGUCGGAUCUGAGUGGUGCUGAGGAGUCGCUUACGCGGUAGGGGAGCGUUCUGUAAGCCUGUGAAGGUGUGUCGCGAGGCAUGCUGGAGGUAUCAGAAGUGCGAAUGCUGACAUGAGUAACGUUAAAACGGGUGAAAAACCCGUUCGCCGAAAACCCAAGGUUUCCUGCUCAACGUUAAUCGGAGCAGGGUGAGUCGGCACCUAAGGCGAGGCCGAAAGGCGUAGUCGAUGGAAAGCAGGUCAACAUUCCUGCACCAGGUGCUGCUGCGAUGGGGUGACGGAGAAGGCUAGGCCAGCCGGGAUCGGAUUGCCCGGUUUAAGCGUGUAGGGGGAGUCUCUAGGAAAAUCCGGAGACUCAUUAACCCUGAGGCGUGAUGACGAGGUCCUACGUGGACCGAAGUGGUUGAUGCCCUGCUCCCAGGAAAAGCCUCUAAGCUUCAGGCAGUAACUGGCCGUACCGUAAACCGACACUGGUGGGUGAGGAGAAAAUCCUAAGGCGCUUGAGAGAACUCGGGUUAAGGAACUCUGCAAAUUGACACCGUAACUUCGGGAGAAGGUGUGCCUCUUGUGGUGAGCGGACUUGCUCCGUGAGCUGUGAGGGGC
rnacentral:rRNA from 1 species